GACGGAGAAGGCUAAGCUGGCCGGAUAUUGGUUACCGGUUUAAGCGUUCGAGGUGUUGAGAAACGGAGAAAACGUUUUGAGCUGAGACGUGAGUACGAGACGCUACGGCGUCGAAGUAGUGUAUGUCAUACUUCCAAGAAAAGCUCGCACUGUCAUAGGUAAAAAAUGCCUGUACCAUAACCGACACAGGUGGGUAGGUAGAGUAUACUAAGGGGCGCGAGAUAACUCUCUCUAAGGAACUCGGCAAAAUGACUCCGUAACUUCGGGAGAAGGAGUGCCUUAUUUAUAAGGUUGCAAUAACAAGAUCCAAGCAACUGUUUACCAAAAACACAGGUCUCCGCUAAGUCGUAAGACGAUGUAUGGGGGCUGACGCCUGCCCAGUGCCAGAAGGUUAAAGAAGUUGGUUAGCAUUCGCGAAGCUGAUAACUGAAGCCCUGGUGAACGGCGGCCGUAACUAUAACGGUCCUAAGGUAGCG
rnacentral:rRNA from 1 species